CCUACGGGAGGCAGCAGUGAGGAAUAUUGGUCAAUGGGCGAGAGCCUGAACCAGCCAAGUCGCGUGAGGGAGUACUGCCCUAUGGGUUGUAAACCUCUUUUGUCGGGGAGCAAAAGCCGGACGUGUCCGGCUGUGAGAGUACCCGAAGAAAAAGCAUCGGCUAACUCCGUGCCAGCAGCCGCGGUAAUACGGAGGAUGCGAGCGUUAUCCGGAUUUAUUGGGUGAAAAGGGUGCGCAGGCGGAUUUUUAAGUCAGCGGUAAAAGGGUGGGGCUAAACCCCAUCCAGCCGUUGAAACUGGGGAUCUAGAGUGUGCGAGAGGUAUGCGGAAUGCGUGGUGUAGCGGUGAAAUGCGUAGAUAUCACGCAGAACCCCGAUUGCGAAGGCGACAUGCCGGUGCACAACUGACGCUGAGGCGCGAAAGCGUGGGUAUCGAACAGGAUUAGAUACCCCAGUAGUC
rnacentral:rRNA from 1 species